AUGAACGCUGGCGGCGUGCCUAAUACAUGCAAGUCGAGCGAACAGACGAGGAGCUUGCUCCUUUGACGUUAGCGGCGGACGGGUGAGUAACACGUAGGUAACCUACCUAUAAGACUGGGAUAACUUCGGGAAACCGGAGCUAAUACCGGAUAAUAUUUCGAACCGCAUGGUUCGAUAGUGAAAGAUGGCUUUGCUAUCACUUAUAGAUGGACCUGCGCCGUAUUAGCUAGUUGGUAAGGUAACGGCUUACCAAGGCAACGAUACGUAGCCGACCUGAGAGGGUGACCGGCCACACUGGAACUGAGACACGGUCCAGACUCCUACGGGGGGCAGCAGUAGGGAAUCUUCCGCAAUGGGCGAAAGCCUGACGGAGCAACGCCGCGUGAGUGAUGAAGGUCUUCGGAUCGUAAAACUCUGUUAUUAGGGAAGAACAAACGUGUAAGUAACUGUGCACGUCUUGACGGUACCUAAUCAGAAAGCCACGGCUAACUACGUG
rnacentral:rRNA from 1 species